rnacentral:rRNA from 1 species
AUUGAACGCUGGCGGCAGGCCUAACACAUGCAAGUCGAGCGGAGCGGCGGACGGGUGAGUAAUGCCUAGGAAUCUGCCUGGUCGUGGGGGAUAACGUCCGGAAACGGGCGCUAAUACCGCAUACUAUCAGAUGAGCCUAGGUCGGAAUAGCUAGUUGGUGGGGUAAAGGCAUACCCAGGCGACGAUCCGUAACUGGUCCGAGAGGAUGAUCAGUCACACUGGAACUGAGACACGGUCCAGACUCCUACGGGAGGCAGCAGUGGGGAAUAUUGGACAAUGGGCGAAAGCCUGAUGCAGCCAUGCCGCGUGUGUGAAGAAGGUCUUCGGGUUGUAAAGCACUUUAAGCUGGGAGGCGUUACCAACAGAAGAAGCACCGGCUAACUCCGUGCCAGCAGCCGCGGUAAUAC